rnacentral:rRNA from 1 species
UACAGAGGUCUCAAGCGUUGUUCGGAUUCAUUGGGCGUAAAGGGUGCGUAGGUGGCGCCGUAAGUCAGGUGUGAAAUCUCGGGGCUCAACCCCGAAACUGCAUUUGAUACUGCGGUGCUCGAGUACUGGAGAGGAGACUGGAAUUUACGGUGUAGCGGUGAAAUGCGUAGAUAUCAAGUGGAACACCAGUGGCGAAGGCGAAUCCCUGGAAAAUACCUGACACUGAGGCACGAAAGCUAGGGGAGCAAACAGG